UUUUGUUUGAUUAGAACAUUAAAGAGUGUUUUAGAUUAGUUAUUGUAGUUACUCACACUAUUUUCUAUGUUUUAACUUUAUGGUCAGUUUUAUUUACAUUUCUCAUCGAAUUAAGACCAGGAAUUUACACGCUUAAAUAUUAAAUGAACAUCAAAGUUCUUGAUAAAACAUUAGAAGAAUGAUACAAAAUAAAUACAAAUGUGUAUAAUCUUCGGAAGAUGAUGAACAGGAUUGUGUAGUUGAAGGAGCAGGGAUAUUACAAUGGACUCGGCGUACAUGUCUAUCUAAAGUAUGUAUGGUUUUAAAGAUUUUAUAACAAAAUUGACACGAAUUAGGAUAAAUGGCUCGUGGCUCUUUGUCAUGCUGUCUCCUGAAGUGUCGAUAUAAAGAGCUACGAGCUGUAAACGUGGUUUUGCAUUCACUACAAGCAAAGUCCAUGUUGGUUUAUUGGAUAAAUUACAAAUAAAAUAGAUAUCGAGAAUAAAGAGCAAAGUGACUAAAUUGUAUAAAUUGUGAAAUGAGUAUGAACUAAAGGCUAGAGCAUGAAAAUAGAAAGUAAUGUAAACGUAAGUAAAAAAGUACCUAAAUAAUAUGGAAGCUAAGCUAUUAACGAACCUAAAUGUAAAAACUACUGAAAUAAUAUGGACCUAAGCUAGGCCUAAAUGUUAAAAAUACCUAAAUAAUAUGGCUAAGGUAGUAACGAAGCUAAAUGUAAAAACGACUUAAAUAAUAUGGAACCUAAGGUAGACCUAAAUGUUAAAAGUACCUAAUUUAUAUGGAACCUAAGCUAGUAACGAACCUAAAUGUAAAAACUACUUAAAUAAUAUGGAACCUAAGCUAGACCUAACUAUUAGUAUCUAAAUAAUAUGGAAGCUAAGCUAGUAACGAACCUAAAUGUAAAAAGUACUAAGCUAGACCUAAAUGUAAAAAGUAGCAAAAUAAUAUGGAAGCAGCUAGACCUAAAUGUGAAAAGAAGGUAAAGAAAGUGGAACCUAAGCUAGACCUUAAUGUAGAAAGUGAGAUAAUAACCCUCAAAUAAAACAAACCUAAUGAAGAAGUAAAUUUGUUAAUUUCAAAAAGCGCAGUAAGAAAUAUAAAUGAAAAGAAACAGAACGAAUUAUAAUAAAAUAUGUUAAUGUAAGAAAAAUAAUAAUAAAAGCCUUACUUAAGAAGAAACGUGCACAAGCGAAUUGAUUGCAUAGCACUAAAAUGGUAACCGCAGAGGAAAGAACAAUAUAAAAUGAAAUGAAAUAAAUGAAAGAAUCAUAAAGAAACGAAAUGAAAAGGCAUAACUGCAAACAAAAUGAAAUUAAAAACGCACAAUCAGAAUAAAGGUCUUACUUGAACAGAAAAUGGCGGACAUGACACGAUACAACGCUACAAGAAAAAAA